GAUGAACGCUGGCGGCGUGCCUAAUACAUGCAAGUCGAGCGAACAGACGAGGAGCUUGCUCCUCUGACGUUAGCGGCGGACGGGUGAGUAACACGUGGAUAACCUACCUAUAAGACUGGGAUAACUUCGGGAAACCGGAGCUAAUACCGGAUAAUAUAUUGAACCGCAUGGUUCAAUAGUGAAAGACGGUUUUGCUGUCACUUAUAGAUGGAUCCGCGCCGCAUUAGCUAGUUGGUAAGGUAACGGCUUACCAAGGCAACGAUGCGUAGCCGACCUGAGAGGGUGAUCGGCCACACUGGAACUGAGACACGGUCCAGAGUCCUACGGGAGGCAGCAGUAGGGAAUGUUCCGCAAUGGGCGAAAGCCUGACGGAGCAACGCCGCGUGAGUGAUGAAGGUCUUCGGAUCGUAAAGCUCUGUUAUUAGGGAAGAACAAAUGUGUAAGUAACUAUGCACGUCUUGACGGUACCUAAUCAGAAAGCAACGGCUAACUACGUG
rnacentral:rRNA from 1 species